CUGACUGCAGCUUUACAUCUGUGCUAGCCCAGUGCAGGGGAGGGGAGUGCUGGGCACUCGUAUCCUGAACCCCAACAAACAAACCGACUGACCAAAGGUAGCUUCAUUUCCACCAACACAUUUUGAGCUCCUUAGAAAAGAGACCUCAUCUCUUCAACCAAGGGUCUAGCCUGUUGCUAAAUAGACUCUCAAUCAAUGUGUAUGGAACCGAUGAACAAGUCUGGAGGUGGUCAUCUGCUAAAAGGAGCUGCAGCGCCACAUCACGAGGUGGCUUCUAGUCCUUGGUGAGUCUGUAAUACACAGUUAUGAGGUGGAUGGAUGAUACGUAGGUCCAAGUGGGGGUUGGGAAGAAUGAACGAGGUAUGAGAAAAGGAAACUGACUUGCUCAUUCUGCCCUUCCUUGAUGAGUUCUUCAAGCAGAAGACUCCAAAGACAUGUCCCAUGUCUUCUCCGGAAGAUGGCUGAGGACCCUCCCCUUCUUAAGUUCCAAAUAUGAGGAAUUGGUAUGGAGAGGAGGGGAAGCCAAUGUCAGGCAGUUUUGUAAGAGGUAAGAACCAGCAAGUCAGCAUAGACAAGAAUGGUCUCCAUGUUCUGGGGAAGGUAGUAGAGCCUCUCAGAAGUCAUAGGACUCACUCACCAAGCUUUCUAAAGAUGUAAGCAGGAAGACCAGAAUUCCAUUGUGAGUCAGCUGGCCUUCCAUAUCUCCUCCUGUUUCCCCUCUGGACCAAGAGUCCAGGAAGGCUGCCAUUCUGGAUAUCAAACAUUUAGACAGAUGGUCUUUACCACCUGCCCUCACAGCGUGCACAUGCCCUUUGUUUGAUAGUAUCUCAAAGGGGACUGUCCCAAUUGCGUCAGGAUCUAGGAAGAUCUUCCAUGGACCAAAGCACCUCUCUUGAGGACCAGUGGAUAAGUGGUAUAGCAGCCCUGGGAUCAUAGCUUCUGUCAGAAAAUGUGUCUUCCUACUUGCCACUGCUCUUUCCCAAAUGUUCAUUCUUCUAGACAGGACCUUCCAGAAAGUCCUGGAAAAGGGAAAAAACACAAAUAAAUAAAUGAAAAAAAAAAAAAAAAAACCAGAUAGAUACUAAUGUAUAGAGGUCACCUGUACCGCCUGGCCUGGAUAUUUUUACUCCUUGAAUUGGUUUGACUAAGGCAGCUCCUGAUCUCACAGAAAUCCUCAGAAAGCUCUGGGGUGUGUGACCGGGGCUGUUCUUCUGGCCAUUAUGCCAUUUGAAUAUUUCCAGUCAAGGUUUAGUCGCUGCACAUCUUUGAGAGUCCUCUAAUCAGAGAAAUUAACUCUCAUCAGACACAAGAAUUAAUCUUUGUUAGUGUUGAUGUCAGUCUAACUUUGCCUUCCUCUAUGCCAGACACCACGGAGAGGGACAUCCUAGCAGGGAGCUGCUGCCACAAAGACCUCGGAAGAGUGGAGGCUGCCCCUCCUCCCACCUGAGGCAGGAGGUCUGUGUGGUGCAAGAAUUCUAAUCUGAUGUUCCAAUUUGUGCUAUACACAGAGACCUAAAAUUAGUGAGUUACUUGAAAGUGUGAGUAUGGUUAUGGGAAGACAGGUAAGGAGGUCCUUGGGAAGGGGUACCAACACCAAAUGCUACCUAGCCAGGUGUCAGGUGGUGGCACCCAAAGAGGAGGGCAGAUUUGCUAUUGGCUUGCCAGUGUGUUAAAUGAAGUCUUAUAUUUUGAAAUCAUCCUUCGGUAGCGGGCGGGGGCAGCAAGGGCCUUCAAUCCCAUCCAUGAAAAGUCUGGCAAUAACUCCGAGCUUCUGAGAAUCGAAACUUGAGUCAAAGAGAACCUGUAAUGUUAAGGAAAUCUGAUUGCUGCAGAAUAAAUAAAUGAGAUGUUAACACCAUCUUGCAUAAUGUAUAUUUCAUAUCCCCUCAUUUGCUCAUGAAAAAUAUAUGGCACAGACUUGUCUGUUAACAUCACAUUCGGUGACACCGAGUGCUUGAUUUUGUUAGUGUCAUGCUAUCUCAACGCUUACGUCAGCUGUAGUUGGUGUUGUUGGUAGCCUUCUGGAGGUUUAUCCUUGAGGUUGCUUCCUCUGUAGGAUUAAACACCCUGAGGGCUUUGCUUCUGAGGGAAGAGUAGGUAAAGAACUUGCUUGUGUGGUGAUUAGAAGGGGCCUCCAUCCUUUGUCUCCUCGACUGUUUGUGACCUUCAUAUUUUACUUCUCUUUGGCCAUCAAUCAGUUUCUCUGUCUGUAAAAUGAGGCGAUUGGUCAGGAUAAUUCCCAAGAUUCUUCUAGCACUAAUCUGUAACUUAUCUGUAAGUGAUCACUGAGGAAGCAGGGCAGAGAACAGCCUUAGGUAUCUGUGACCCAAGAGGAGGUGAGUUUCUCUGAUUUAGGUUGAAAUGGCCAGAAUUUAAACCACUUCCAUAGGCACCAUCAGAGGCUCCCAGAUGGGCGUCAUACUUAAUAGAUAGAUAGAUAGAUAGAUAGAUAGAUAGAUAGAUAGAUGAGACCCCCUUUAAGACAAGUCACCUUCUCACUGGCUUGUGACACACUACAAGAACCAUCUCUAUUAUGGAUGCCACCAUGGAUGCCACCCACAUUGAUUCCUACCUUGGUGAACUCAUGGAUCACUGACAGCCAUGUCACCUGGCAGGCUGCCUGGAACUCACCAGUGCCUGUCGGAAGCCCCAGCUGCACCUCUGUUUUGCAGGCCACCCUUUGGGUUUAAGCCACCUAUUGUCAUUCUGGGGAGCAGUCGCAUCCUCAAAUCAAAAGCCAGGGAUUCUUAGAGGAGUGGCACUGGCAGGAAUGAGUGGUGGCUUGCAGAAGCACAAUGAGAUAACAAAGUUUCUUUCAAACAUCUUUUCAUAGUUCAAAGCCCUAGGAAGCCACUAAACAAUGCAUUGGCAGCCAGGCCGAGUUCUUGCUAUCUUGUUGACUGAAACAUUCAUUGUGAUGCUUCCCAGGCUUCCUAUUAUGAGGGAAAGGAAGCUUUUGACCACUUCAGCAUAGUGUGAAUUAAUCUGCCUGCUGCACAACACCUUAACUUCAUGGUCUUUGUCUCAUCGGGGGUGUCGGGUGUCACAAGGGAGGGGAAGCCAGGAAAGUGCUUGUGUGGGACUCAGGAGGGACUUCUGUGUGCUGCAGGAGCAUUAACCCUGGUCACUCACUGGUCGGUUCCUGCCGAGGUGACCACAUCUCACUUCUUGACCUUCAUGCUUGGAGGAGCUCAUAAGAUCAAACUGGGCAAACAGCUACAGAACAAGCUUCCUAAAACCACAAACGGCUUACAGCUGCUGCGGCCAUCCUAAAACUCCGCCCUGCAUGUACGGCUACAAGAGAUGGAAGAAGGAUUAAAAGAAGAGGAUGCUAGGUAACAGUUCGAUGUCAAUUUCUGAGAGGACAAGCACUUAGAGAAUAUUUGGCAUCUGGCAAAGCUGCCACUUCCCAGACUUGUAAAUCGAUCUCAACAGGGCCUGGGUCUUAAAACAAAUCAUGCUCCACACUCAGUGAAAUAAAAAGUAAAUAGAAAAAUA